rnacentral:rRNA from 1 species
UACGUAGGGUCCGAGCGUUGUCCGGAAUUACUGGGCGUAAAGAGCUCGUAGGUGGUUUGUCGCGUUGUUCGUGAAAACUCACAGCUUAACUGUGGGCGUGCGGGCGAUACGGGCAGACUUGAGUACUGCAGGGGAGACUGGAAUUCCUGGUGUAGCGGUGGAAUGCGCAGAUAUCAGGAGGAACACCAAUAGCGAAGGCAGCUCGCUGGGACGUUACUGACACUGAGGCGCGAAAGCGUGGGGAGCGAACAGG